rnacentral:rRNA from 1 species
GCAAGUCGUGCGGUAACAGGACUUAGCUUGCUAAUUUGCUGACGAGCGGCGGACGGGUGAGUAAUGCCUGGGAAUAUGCCUUGAUGUGGGGGAUAACUAUUGGAAACGAUAGCUAAUACCGCAUAAUGCCUACGGGCAAAAGAGGGGGAUCUUCGGACCUCUCGCGUCAAGAUGAGCCCGGGUGGGAUUAGCUAGUUGGUGAGGUAAUGGCUCACCAAGGCGACGAUCCCUAGCUGGUUUGAGAGGAUGAUC